UGACUUGACAGAUGAAAGGUUCCUUGUGCCGGAGAUGAUCUUCCAUCCUGCUGAUUUGGGAAUGAAUCAGGCUGGGCUAGCGGAGUGCAUAGUUCGAGCUGUCAGUUCCUG